AUUCCCAGGCUGAAAUUCCAACCAACUGACAUUACUAUCUUCCACCAGCAGAGGGAGCCACCCUGGCCCUGCAUCCCAGUGCUCUUCUGGCAUUCCAGAUAUUCUCAGUUUCCAUCGCACGCCACUUCCCUCAGCCUGUAGAACUUCCGGCAGCAACUGCAAUUAGGGGUAGUCCAGUGCUAAAUUGUCGCAGCCUUGAAAAUAUUCUGCUUCGUUAUUUCGGGCACUCCACAGAUUCUGUUGCGAAGGCAGCCAUCUUUAGUUCGUCUUUCCUAGAGAGUAGUGUGUGAGCUGCAAAGUUGCUUUACAUCUUUGCCAGCAGCUGAUAAGGGUGGGCCAUAAACCCAAUUUGUGUCCCUUGGGCUGGUGAUUCUGCUGGAAAUCCUGAUCAGCUGCUUAGCUUUUCAGCCGCAACUUUGUUCUCUCCUAGUUUUUCUCAGCAGAAUGGUUGAGCUAAACUGGCUGCAUUACCAUGGAAGCAGACAUCUCUACAUAUACUGUUUUUUUGGAAUAUGUUUUAGUUUUAAUUGUUUUUCAUUGUAUAGCCAGUUGAUCCUUUUUGUUGUUGCUGUUGUCGUUGUUUUUUGAGAUGGAAUCUUGCUCUGUCACCCAG
rnacentral:lncRNA from 10 species